rfam:Triticum aestivum genome assembly, contig: Triticum_aestivum_CS42_TGACv1_scaffold_158499_2DL
AAUAUACUCCCUCCGUCCCAAAAUAAGUGUCUCAAGUUUGCAAAGUUGUACUAAAGUUGAGACACUUAUUUUGGGACGGAGGGAGUAUAUA